rnacentral:snRNA from 1 species
GAGUUCAGCAGCUUGGAGACUAAAACUGGGACAACUCAGGGAGGAUUAGCAUGGCCCUUGCACGAGAUGACAUGUACAUAUCCGAAGAGUUUAUGUUUAAG